GGGGGCGACCUGGCUUCGACGUGGGUUGCAAAGCAGCGUAGGGCAUACCGAGGACCCGCCACCUCGUAAAUCAGCUGGAAAAAACUAGUCGCAAACGACGAAAACUACGCUUUAGCCGCUUAGUCGGCUAGACCUCGCACCUUCUCUCCCAUGGGGAGGCUCAAAGCCGCAAGGCCGAGAUGAGCGAGGUCCUAACAUGGGAUCGUGUCGAGCAGGGUCACUUUGCUCGGCAUUAAACUCAAGGUGACUCGUCCCGUACCAGCCCGCCGGUUGGCGUGUCCGGGAUUAAAUCAAACAGCCUGGCUAAGUAUGUAGAACUAUCUGUAGAGGACUUGCGGACGGGGGUUCAAUUCCCCCCGCCUCCACCA
rnacentral:tmRNA from 1 species